UGAUGGCGACCGGCGCACGGGUGAGUAACACGUAUCCAACCUGCCGAUAACUCCGGAAUAGCCUUUCGAAAGAAAGAUUAAUACCGGAUAGCAUACGAAUAUCGCAUGAUAUUUUUAUUUAAAGAAUUUCGGUUAUCGAUGGGGAUGCGUUCCAUUAGUUUGUUGGCGGGAUAACGGCCCACCAAGACUACGAUGGAUAGGGGUUCUGAGAGGAAGGUCCCCCACAUUGGAACUGAGACACGGUCCAAACUCCUACGGGAGGCAGCAUG
rnacentral:rRNA from 1 species